rnacentral:rRNA from 1 species
GUUUGAUCCUGGCUCAGAUUGAACGCUGGCGGCAUGCCUUACACAUGCAAGUCGAACGGUAACGCGGGGCAACCUGGCGACGAGUGGCGAACGGGUGAGUAAUAUAUCGGAACGUGCCCAGUAGUGGGGGAUAGCCCGGCGAAAGCCGGAUUAAUACCGCAUGAGACCUGAGGGUGAAAGCGGGGGAUCGCAAGACCUCGCGCUAUUGGAGCGGCCGAUAUCAGAUUAGGUAGUUGGUGGGGUAAAGGCCUACCAAGCCGACGAUCUGUAGCUGGUCUGAGAGGACGACCAGCCACACUGGGACUGAGACACGGCCCAGACUCCUACGGGAAGCAGCAGUGGGGAAUAUUGGACAAUGGGGGCAACCCUGAUCCAGCAAUGCCGCGUGUGUGAAGAAGGCCUGCGGGUUGUAAAGCACUUUCAGUAGGGAAGAAAAGCUCGGGGCUAAUACCUCCGGGUCUUGACGUUACCUAAAGAAGAAGCACCGGCUAACUCCGUG